UACGUAGGGUGCAAGCGUUGUCCGGAUUUAUUGGGCGUAAAGGGCGCGUAGGCGGCCUUCUAAGUCGAACGUGAAAUCCCCGGGCUCAACCCGGGAACUGCGUCCGAUACUGGAAGGCUUGAAUCCGGGAGAGGGAUGCGGAAUUCCAGGUGUAGCGGUGAAAUGCGUAGAUAUCUGGAGGAACACCGGUGGCGAAGGCGGCAUCCUGGACCGGCAUUGACGCUGAGGCGCGAAAGCCAGGGGAGCAAAGCGGG
rnacentral:rRNA from 1 species